rnacentral:rRNA from 1 species
UACGUAGGUGGCAAGCGUUGUCCGGAAUUAUUGGGCGUAAAGCGCGCGCAGGUGGUUUCUUAAGUCUGAUGUGAAAGCCCACGGCUCAACCGUGGAGGGUCAUUGGAAACUGGGGAACUUGAGUGCAGGAGAGAAGAGUGGAAUUCCACGUGUAGCGGUGAAAUGCGUAGAGAUGUGGAGGAACACCAGUGGCGAAGGCGACUCUUUGGCCUGUAACUGACACUGAGGCGCGAAAGCGUGGGGAGCAGACAGG